UGAAUUCUUUCCUGCACAAACCAAGGACCCACAUUUGUCGGGGCACGUCCCAGGGACCCAAACGAGACCUGGGAUACAGCCCUCCUCUCGCCCCACAUUUUCCUGUAUCAGAACUACACUUGAGAGUACAAAAAGAGAAGAGGUUACUUUGCCAUGCUUCUUGCAGUAGCUCAG